AUCCCUGUAGCGCAAAAGGAUUGCGCUUUGGACUUCUAAUUCAAAGGUAGUGGUUUCGAAUCCCACCUGGAAUG